rnacentral:rRNA from 1 species
AACGAACGCUGGCGGCAGGCUUAACACAUGCAAGUCGAACGCACCGCAAGGUGAGUGGCAGACGGGUGAGUAACACGUGGGGAUCUGCCCAAUGGUACGGAAUAGCUCCGGGAAACUGGAAUUAAUACCGUAUGAGCCCGCAAGGGGAAAGAUUUAUCGCCAUUGGAUGAACCCGCGUCGGAUUAGCUAGUUGGUGUGGUAAAGGCGCACCAAGGCGACGAUCCGUAGCUGGUCUGAGAGGAUGAUCAGCCGCACUGGGACUGAGACACGGCCCAGACUCCUACGGGAGGCAGCAGUGGGGAAUAUUGGAAAAUGGGCGCAAGCCUGAUCCAGCCAUGCCGCGUGAGUGAUGAAGGCCUUAGGGUUGUAAAGCUCUUUCGCCGACGAAGAUAAUGACGGUAGUCGGAGAAGAAGCCCCGGCUAACUUCGUGCCAGCCGCCGCGGUAAGAC